rnacentral:rRNA from 1 species
GACGAACGCUGGCGGCGUGCUUAACACAUGCAAGUCGAACGGAAAGGCCCUGCUUUUGUGGGGUGCUCGAGUGGCGAACGGGUGAGUAACACGUGAGUAACCUGCCCUUUACUUUGGGAUAACUUCAGGAAACUGGGGCUAAUACCGGAUAGGAGCUCCUGCUGCAUGGUGGUGGUUGGAAAGUUUCGGCGGUUGGGGAUGGACUCGCGGCUUAUCAGCUUGUUUGUGGGGUAGUGGCUUACCAAGGCUUUGACGGGUAGCCGGCCUGAGAGGGUGACCGGCCACAAUGGGACUGAGAUACGGCCCAGACUCCUACGGGAGGCAGCAGUGGGGAAUAUUGCACAAUGGGCGGAAGCCUGAUGCAGCAACGCCGCGUGCGGGAUGACGGCCUUCGGGUUGUAAACCGCUUUCGCCUGUGACGAAGCGUGAGUGACGGUAAUGGGUAAAGAAGCACCGGCUAACUACGUG